rnacentral:misc_RNA from 1 species
GAUCAAGUGACGGCGCGUGGGCAGCAGGAACGGCGCGGGCGCCCCGUCCGUUCGUCACUCUGGCCGUUGUUCGUUGGAAAACGGGUAUUUUUGUGGCAUGCGCUUAGCUUUACUUCCCUUUGAUAUAAAAGUGUAAUUCAUCGGUGCUUUGCAUGAAAAAACAUAUUUUUAGAGAUGUUACGAUCUCGGAAAAUGUUGGAUAUGCUCAAAGAUGACGCAGAAGAGCUUGAUCUUAAUUCAACAUUUACAAAAUAUGAUGCUGUUUAUACAAAGAACAACGUAAAUACUGUUGUGUAUGAUAACGAAACCACUAUGACACAUCAAACGUCAUCAUUGCCUCCUGGUGCAAAAGAAAUUUGUCAGGAACUAGCUGACGUAUAGGAAAAAAUCCUGCAUGAAGAUAAUGGAACCAAAGAAAUUACCUGCGACAGCUCAAUACCGAAUGCCACGUCUGAUCUGUCUACCGAGAGAGUCUACAGCAAUCAACCUAGUACACUUUCUUUGGAAG